GAUGAACGCUGGCGGCGUGCUUAACACAUGCAAGUCGAACGAAGCACUUUAUUUGAUUUCUUCGGAAUGAAGAUUUUGUGACUGAGUGGCGGACGGGUGAGUAACGCGUGGGUAACCUGCCUCAUACAGGGGGAUAACAGUUGGAAACGACUGCUAAUACCGCAUAAGCGCACAGGGUCGCAUGACCUGGUGUGAAAAACUCCGGUGGUAUGAGAUGGACCCGCGUCUGAUUAGCCAGUUGGUGGGGUAACGGCCUACCAAAGCGACGAUCAGUAGCCGACCUGAGAGGGUGACCGGCCACAUUGGGACUGAGACACGGCCCAAACUCCUACGGGAGGCAGCAGUGGGGAAUAUUGCACAGUGGGGGAAACCCUGAUGCAGCGACGCCGCGUGAGCGAAGAAGUAUUUCGGUAUGUAAAGCUCUAUCAGCAGGGAAGAAGAAAUGACGG
rnacentral:rRNA from 1 species